GAUGAACGCUGGCGGCGUGCUUAACACAUGCAAGUCGAACGGGAAUUACUUUAUUGAAACUUCGGUCGAUUUAAUUUAAUUCUAGUGGCGGACGGGUGAGUAACGCGUGGGUAACCUGCCUUAUACAGGGGGAUAACAGUCAGAAAUGGCUGCUAAUACCGCAUAAGCGCACAGAGCUGCAUGGCUCGGUGUGAAAAACUCCGGUGGUAUAAGAUGGACCCGCGUUGGAUUAGCUUGUUGGUGGGGUAACGGCCCACCAAGGCGACGAUCCAUAGCCGGCCUGAGAGGGUGAACGGCCACAUUGGGACUGAGACACGGCCCAGACUCCUACGAGAGGCAGCAGUGGGGAAUAUUGCACAAUGGGGGAAACCCUGAUGCAGCGACGCCGCGUGAAGGAAGAAGUAUCUCGGUAUGUAAACUUCUAUCAGCAGGGAAGAUAGUGACGGUACCUGACUAAGAAGCCCCGGCUAACUACGUGCCAGCAGCCGCGGUAAUACGUAGGGGGCAAGCGUUAUCCGGAUUUACUGGGUGUAAAGGGAGCGUAGACGGUGUGGCAAGUCUGAUGUGAAAGGCAUGGGCUCAACCUGUGGACUGCAUUGGAAACUGUCAUACUUGAGUGCCGGAGGGGUAAGCGGAAUUCCUAGUGUAGCGGUGAAAUGCGUAGAUAUUAGGAGGAACACCAGUGGCGAAGGCGGCUUACUGGACGGUAACUGACGUUGAGGCUCGAAAGCGUGGGGAGCAAACAGGAUUAGAUACCCUGGUAGUCCACGCCGUAAACGAUG
rnacentral:rRNA from 1 species